CACACACAUGCACAUUUUCACGCCCAUGAGGGCCUUAGUCUUAGGCAUGGCCAUGACAAUACCAGUAAGAGGAAGCUCCUCUGUUUCUGCCUAAAUACAGAGAAGGAGUGUCUAUCUUAGAUAGGAGAUGAUAUGGGAUGACUCCGCCUAUUUGGAAGAAAUGAAGAUGUGCUUGUGGGACUUGUAUGUUGUCUUUGCAGCUUUAUGACUCAGUGGUUGAAUAAACUUGGUUUGAGCUUUUUCUAGUCGCCCGUGAGUUUUCUACAGAACCUAACAGUUGCCAAUGUUGACAGGAUUAACCAAUAUUUAUAGCUGAAUUGGAGAGUUCAAAUCAGUAGAACAGGAGCCAGCACAUAAAAACAAGGUUAUGGCAAUAGCGACCCCAGACCGUAUCUAGAUGCAUGGAAGGGAUUAUUCGACCGAGAACAGUGUGAGCCUUACCCCCUCUAACCGGCAGAAGAAAUUGAGACAAUGAUGUUCACUAUGACCCUGUCCUCCACCACCUCUACCUGAGACAUGAGUCCGAGCCAGCAAACGGUGUACAGCAUCCAGUCGAAGCUAUCAAUGCCUUUUCUCUCAGGAGCGCAGCAUGAGUCCUGAGACCGUCCAUGUGGAGUGAGCAUGGAGAGAGAUCAUGUCCAAACUUAUCUCAUGUUGCUGGUGUACUGGUUGGAAAAUGGACAAGACAGAAAUGGACAAUACAGAAUGGACCGUAAAGGUUGGUGGUGAGACAUUUGUGUGCUUUGUCUGCUUGGGAAAAUCAGAUUAUUCCCCAGAUAUUGAAAUCGGGGACAUUAUCAAGGGCCAUCCACUUUGACAGGCAUGAGUUACAUGUGUGCCAUUGGGAGGAUGAACUGUAAAGCUAUCCAAUGAAGAAAAUGAAGAGACGCCGGACGAAUGAGAGCCGGGAUGGAGGGGAGUGAUCACUGUUCCAGAUGAGGGACUGUUGGAAACUGACUAAUUGACUUGAGCACGUUUUAGUAUGUUUAUAACUAUAUAAGUGGCCUAGCAGUAGUGAUCAACGUGUUAUGGGUUAGAUGGAUUGAUCUAUGUGCAAAUGUAUUUGUGGCCAGAGGCAAAGUACAAAGGGGGCCUGUCUCUGAGACAGAAUGUUUCCAUACGGGUGAGAUAGGAGUCAUAUGAUAGAGCUAAUACUAUAGAUUGUGAACUAUUGCCUUUUAACAGGUCUUAUAGCUUCCCUGUUUUAAAUUAUUGUAUUCUCUC